GGUUAAGCGACUAAGCGUACACGGUGGAUGCCCUGGCAGUCAGAGGCGAUGAAGGACGUGCUAAUCUGCGAUAAGCGCCGGUAAGGUGAUAUGAACCGUUAUAACCGGCGAUUUCCGAAUGGGGAAACCCAGUGUGACUCGUCACACUAUCAUUAACUGAAUCCAUAGGUUAAUGAGGCGAACCGGGGGAACUGAAACAUCUAAGUACCCCGAGGAAAAGAAAUCAACCGAGAUUCCCCCAGUAGCGGCGAGCGAACGGGGAGGAGCCCAGAGCCUGAAUCAGCAUGUGUGUUAGUGGAAGCGUCUGGAAAGGCGCGCGAUACAGGGUGACAGCCCCGUACACAAAAGCGCAUGUGCUGUGAGCUCGAUGAGUAGGGCGGGACACGUGGUAUCCUGUCUGAAUAUGGGGGGACCAUCCUCCAAGGCUAAAUACUCCUGACUGACCGAUAGUGAACCAGUACCGUGAGGGAAAGGCGAAAAGAACCCCGGCGAGGGGAGUGAAAAAGAACCUGAAACCGUGUACGUACAAGCAGUGGGAGCACCCUUUGGGGUGUGACUGCGUACCUUUUGUAUAAUGGGUCAGCGACUUAUAUUCUGUAGCAAGGUUAACCGAAUAGGGGAGCCGGAGGGAAACCGAGUCUUAAUUGGGCGUUAAGUUGCAGGGUAUAGACCCGAAACCCGGUGAUCUAGCCAUGGGCAGGUUGAAGGUUGGGUAACACUAACUGGAGGACCGAACCGACUAAUGUUGAAAAAUUAGCGGAUGACCUGUGGCUGGGGGUGAAAGGCCAAUCAAACCGGGAGAUAGCUGGUUCUCCCCGAAAGCUAUUUAGGUAGCGCCUCGUGAAUUCAUCUCCGGGGGUAGAGCACUGUUUCGGCUAGGGGGCCAUCCCGGCUUACCAACCCGAUGCAAACUGCGAAUACCGGAGAAUGUUAUCACGGGAGACACACGGCGGGUGCUAACGUCCGUCGUGAAGAGGGAAACAACCCAGACCGCCAGCUAAGGUCCCAAAGUCAUGGUUAAGUGGGAAACGAUGUGGGAAGGCCCAGACAGCCAGGAUGUUGGCUUAGAAGCAGCCAUCAUUUAAAGAAAGCGUAAUAGCUCACUGGUCGAGUCGGCCUGCGCGGAAGAUGUAACGGGGCUAAACCAUGCACCGAAGCUGCGGCAGCGACGCUGAUGCGUUGUUGGGUAGGGGAGCGUUCUGUAAGCCUGUGAAGGUGGCCUGUGAGGGUUGCUGGAGGUAUCAGAAGUGCGAAUGCUGACAUAAGUAACGAUAAAGCGGGUGAAAAGCCCGCUCGCCGGAAGACCAAGGGUUCCUGUCCAACGUUAAUCGGGGCAGGGUGAGUCGACCCCUAAGGCGAGGCCGAAAGGCGUAGUCGAUGGGAAACGGGUUAAUAUUCCCGUACUUGGUGUUACUGCGAAGGGGGGACGGAGAAGGCUAUGUUGGCCGGGCGACGGUUGUCCCGGUUUAAGCGUGUAGGUGUGUGUUCCAGGUAAAUCCGGUUCACUUUAACACUGAGGCGUGAUGACGAGGCACUACGGUGCUGAAGCAACAAAUGCCCUGCUUCCAGGAAAAGCCUCUAAGCAUCAGGUAACAUCAAAUCGUACCCCAAACCGACACAGGUGGUCAGGUAGAGAAUACCAAGGCGCUUGAGAGAACUCGGGUGAAGGAACUAGGCAAAAUGGUGCCGUAACUUCGGGAGAAGGCACGCUGACAUGUAGGUGAAGUGAUUUACUCACGGAGCUGAAGUCAGUCGAAGAUACCAGCUGGCUGCAACUGUUUAUUAAAAACACAGCACUGUGCAAACACGAAAGUGGACGUAUACGGUGUGACGCCUGCCCGGUGCCGGAAGGUUAAUUGAUGGGGUCAGCGCAAGCGAAGCUCCUGAUCGAAGCCCCGGUAAACGGCGGCCGUAACUAUAACGGUCCUAAGGUAGCGAAAUUCCUUGUCGGGUAAGUUCCGACCUGCACGAAUGGCGUAAUGAUGGCCAGGCUGUCUCCACCCGAGACUCAGUGAAAUUGAACUCGCUGUGAAGAUGCAGUGUACCCGCGGCAAGACGGAAAGACCCCGUGAACCUUUACUAUAGCUUGACACUGAACAUUGAGCCUUGAUGUGUAGGAUAGGUGGGAGGCUUUGAAGUGUGGACGCCAGUCUGCAUGGAGCCGGCCUUGAAAUACCACCCUUUAAUGUUUGAUGUUCUAACGUGGACCCGUGAUCCGGGUUGCGGACAGUGUCUGGUGGGUAGUUUGACUGGGGCGGUCUCCUCCUAAAGAGUAACGGAGGAGCACGAAGGUUGGCUAAUCCUGGUCGGACAUCAGGAGGUUAGUGCAAUGGCAUAAGCCAGCUUGACUGCGAGCGUGACGGCGCGAGCAGGUGCGAAAGCAGGUCAUAGUGAUCCGGUGGUUCUGAAUGGAAGGGCCAUCGCUCAACGGAUAAAAGGUACUCCGGGGAUAACAGGCUGAUACCGCCCAAGAGUUCAUAUCGACGGCGGUGUUUGGCACCUCGAUGUCGGCUCAUCACAUCCUGGGGCUGAAGUAGGUCCCAAGGGUAUGGCUGUUCGCCAUUUAAAGUGGUACGCGAGCUGGGUUUAGAACGUCGUGAGACAGUUCGGUCCCUAUCUGCCGUGGGCGCUGGAGAACUGAGGGGGGCUGCUCCUAGUACGAGAGGACCGGAGUGGACGCAUCACUGGUGUUCGGGUUGUCAUGCCAAUGGCACUGCCCGGUAGCUAAAUGCGGAAGAGAUAAGUGCUGAAAGCAUCUAAGCACGAAACUUGCCCCGAGAUGAGUUCUCCCUGAGACUUAGAGUCUCCUGAAGGAACGUUGAAGACGACGACGUUGAUAGGCCGGGUGUGUAAGCGCAGCGAUGCGUUGAGCUAACCGGUACUAAUGAACCGUGAGGCUUAACCUU
rnacentral:rRNA from 1 species